AAUUAGAUGCCAUCUUCUCUCCUCUCCAAGUAUGUUUCGGGGACAGCGGGGCGAGGCAACCUAUACACCCCAAGACAGGUAACCAGACAGUAUAUCCUCCAAAUGCGUUCCACAUAUCUAAGAGGUCUGUGAAACAAGGACUGUAUACUUUUCAUAUUAUACUAGCAUAACUUAUCUUUUUCAUUGAAGGUAAUCCCCAUGAGUGUCAAUCAUGAUCCACUAGAAAAAUCCUGUGCGAGUCACAUAAUAAUUCUGUAGGAUGUCACAACAUUGGGUGGUCCCCAUUCAUAUGUAAAAUUUUCCACAAAACCUAACAGCAUGUAUCCCUUCCUACUUUUUACACCUGUGAACUCACUGGCACCCCCUUUGUCCCAACCAUGAUCCUAUUUGAUUCAGCAUGGAGAGUAAGAGUCGACCUAGAAAUAUUUAGCAGUUAAGGCCUAAAACUUCCAUGGGAGGUACCUCUGUAAUGGUUUCCUGUAUGCUCCAUGUAGUAGCAUAGAAUGAUGAAGUAAUGAGAGAAGGGAUGCAGGGUACUAUCUGUCCAUGUUGCUUACAUGAACUAAAAUUGAAAAAGCAUUGUGGAAGUGACAUUAACGUUACCACAAAGUUUGUCCACUCAGACAAACUAUGGGGCGUUACAUUUAAAGGAAGUCGUGCUUUGAUUACAGGUACACAAACAACUCUCUCUCUCCCCCCCCCUCCCCCUCCUCUCUCUCUCUCUCCAUAUUUUAUAUAUAAUACAUAUACAUACAUAGCGUGCACAAACACAUACAAAGGUGUUUUCUAUUUUUAUCUCUAGGACUGAAGUACCUAUUGUUAUACUCAGUGCCCUGAAAUUAGUGCAGGAAUUGGAGUUCAGAGCACAAAAUGAACUACAAAAUCAUGAAGCAUCUUGUGUCUCUCUCAGCAUUUCUAAUUAGGUAUUAGAAGCAUAUUAUAUCUCCUUGCACUUAGUUCAAAAGCAAAAAGGAAAAUAUGAAGUGACCAAGAAAUAGCUGAAAUAAUCAGUAAUCUAACUUGCAAAUACCUUAGAUGAGCCUCCUUUGGCAGAAAAUCCGAACUUCAACGUCUUCCUCUGAUCUUGAUCGGCGAGAGCAGUUGCAGUUCGAACCAUGGAGGGGGCUGGAAUGUUUCCUACUUCCUCCGGCGUUUGCUGUUCUUCCUGCUUCUUAUUGGCAGCCCUAGUAAUCAGUGAAAGCAAAGACAGUUCAUCAGCAAGAAAUUGCAUAUCACCACAACAGAAAAUAAAUGCAGAACGUGAAAUAUCAUACAUCUGGGCGAAUUUUGCCAUCUCCCUCUCUUGACGUUGCUGUUCUCUUUUCUGCCUAUCGUCACGGCUACUUCCAUGCAUUUCUCUCAUUUCCUUGAAGCGCUAGAAUAGUAAUCGAAGUUUAAAUAAUGCACGAAGGAGGAGUGCAAUGAAGAUAGUAACUUUUCUUAGGGAUAAUGAUGAAGAUAAUAUCAAUGAACUGAAAAAUAUUAGUAUGAGAUUUAAGAAAACACUUACCUUCCUGUGGUUGUGAUCAUAUGAACUCAAGUGGGCUUCAAACUCCAUCGCUAAUUUAUAUUGCUUGUUGCAUAGCUCACAAAAGAAAACCUUGCGUAUUUCCUUCACCUCCGUUUCAAUUUUGUGCUCGCGUUCUGCUAAAACCUGGAUUUUCAUAAUGUGCAGGAAGCAGGCAGUAGAAGCCACCAGGUAAUAAAAACUGCACGAAAUUCUCAAGAUCUUCCAAAGUUGGUAUUCCCUUAUAUACCAUUCCCGUCAAAAGACACACAUAUAUGCUAUAUGCUGCCUUCUGUUAUUAGAUGUAUGUUUCAGGAAAAGUAAAGUAUCAAACUCAAAUGGUCUAGUGCAACACAUUUACCAGCUACCUAAAAUGUUAUAGGCAUACCUCCCGCUUUUUAGCAAGUUCCUCAGUCUCCUCACGCUCGAUAUCAAGCUUUCGACUUUGAAUAUUUUCUUCUGCUGUAAAAUAAUCAUCUUCCUCUUGCUUUCCAAUACCCAACUUUGGGUCUCGCAUCCCCGAUUUUAUUGGCUCAGUAAUUCCUAGUCUCCAAAAGGAAGAAAUUAAUCAAAACUACUUAACGUGCAUCGACACAUUGCAGUAAUUGUAACUUAAAAAGAUAGAAGAGUCAAUAUGUCAAGCAAUUUUGCGCAUGCAACCUUACCUUGCUCAUUUUUUCCAAGACCCUUCCCUUUCCAACCCAUCUUCUGAAGAAGCCUGAAUCCAAUAUUAGAGGAUGGCAACUGUGUUUCUAAAGAUGCUUGCUCGACAUUUUCCAGGUCUAUGUUUUCUGUUGGUCUAUGAUUAAUAGGAAGGCGAAAAUCUUCAGCGAGAUCCUCUAGAACAGAAGCCUCGUCUGCCUGUGUUUCGAAAAGUUGAGAUAUAGCUUUAUUAAUUAAAACAGCUGAUGAUCAAGAUUAGUCCAUGUAGUAAAACUUCAUAAGUCAUGUGAGACCAUAGCAGAAUCGCAAUAAACUGAAAUGCAUAAGCAUCCUUAGUUCCUUAUUAAGUUGACUACAAAAGCCCAUAUGAUAUUUUAUCUUACUUUUCUUUUUUUAAAACCAAAAAAAAGGAAUAAGAAAAAGGCUUGAACUGCAUUAAGAUGAGUUAUCCUAAUUGCAAAAGCAUCUUCAUAUGCAGUAGCGGAUCCAGGAUUUCAAAGUCGUGGUGUUCAAUUACCAAUAACGGAGACUUACUACAACUGCAAAUUAUAAUUGCACAAUCAUUUUAAACUCGAUGGUAAAAUAUUUGAAGUAUGUGUAUGUGUAUAUGUAUAUGUAUAUGUAUAUGUAUAUACACAUAUACAUAAUUAUCAUCAAAAUAUUAGUAAACUCACAUUUGUCUUCGCUGUUUUCCUACUUUGAAAAUGAUGAAUAAUAGCAUUAUUAGCUACACUAAAUUUCCAAUAUCAAAUUCAGCGCAGCAUUGGUCUAGGUCGAUAUGAAUUGAAAAGUCUCUUUUUUAUACAAAUGAACAAAAAGAAAAAUUUCAAAAGUUAAAUUAAACUAUAUCAAAUUGACUUCAGUCACAAAGGUCAUAUUGAGAAAACGAGAAGAGAAAGGCGAAUUAUUGAGGAAGAAGUCAAAUUGUUGAAACCAACUAGAGGAAGAAAAGAAGUAAAAAAAAGGAAGAACAAAUUGAGAAAUAAAGCAAUAUAGGAAGAUAGCAGGUACAGGAAAUGGAAAAGACAGUAAAGAUUUGAAAGAGAAUAUACUAACAGGAAAAGGUAAAAGAAAGAAACAAUGGCAAAGAGAAUAAAAAGGAAACCAAUUCUUGGGGAAAAAAAAAUAAAGAGGCAAGCAAUUCACGGUAAAAGGUAGAGAAGAAAAGCAUGAGUUGAAAUGAAAAUAAACGUACGUUGAAAGAUUCGAUCUAAGAACAUUUUAGUUCAACCAAAGCACCCAUGAAGUUCCUUUGUUGAUGGGUGCUUAACAAAGGGACUUGACCAAUUAUUGACCAAUCUCUGUACAAAAUACUUGUACCACCAAUGGAGCAACGGGUGCUCUAGCACCCUGCCCAUGUUCAUAUGGUGUCGCCUUAAAUGAGUUGCUAAGUUAGAUUGAAGAGAAAGUAAAGGAAAAAAACAAUAGGGAAAAUAAAUAAAUGAGAUAUCUGUGCUAUAUAUUAAGUAAUUAGUUACUUUUAAUCGGUAAGAUCCCUCAUUAUGUUGAAUAAGGAAAUAAGCUAAACAAGCAUGUAGGUAUAAUCUGUGUUCUAGCUAUUACCUGUUCCAUUUCUUGCUGGCGUUUAUCUCUCAUGCGCAAUUCUGGCCGACCAUUGAACCAUCUAUCAUCCAUAUCUACACGAUAAUGCUAUUCACACAGACAGCAAACAACAAAGUUACUUACCAGCACAACUAGUGUACAAAAGAAAUUGUUGCGCAUUAGUAAAUAAAGUGAGAGGAGCAAAACUGAACCAAGAACGUGCAGCCUAUUACUUAAGAUGCUUUGGUAUGACAUAGAAUGUUAUGAUGAAACCAUUUUCUAGUGUUUUAUACUUAAAUAGUUGAAUAGAUACAUUUCCUUGACAAGUAUCUCAACACUUUGCCAACUGAAAUAGUAAUUCAAGAAAAUGAUUUCCUGGCUAAAUCAUUUUAACUGAAGACAUCUAAUGAAUCAAUUGGAUGGAAGAGACCACCAAAUUCAUUAAACAAUCAAAAUCCGCCAACAGAACAUUGCAUAACAAAACACUCCUAUAAAUUGUAAGAUUCCAAUAGUACACCAGAAACCUAACACGGUAGCAAAAGUCCAUACAGUAGCAAUAUGCUGGUAAAUGGCACAAAUUGAACAGAUUCGUAAAAGACCUUCAUUAAACGGACUAACAUUUUAAUGGUUUAUUAGGUUUAGGUCUCUGAUAAAUCAAAAAUAUAAGAUUUUGCGCCUAUUUUAACGUCUACGAAUGAAAACUGAAGCAAACAAGCACGAAUAACGAAGAAAUUGAUACCUGAUGGAAGAAAAUUGGUUUUGUAGUUGAGAAAAAUCACUUGUUG
rnacentral:lncRNA from 1 species